CCUACGGGAGGCAGCAGUGAGGAAUAUUUGUCAAUGGGCGCGAGCCUGAACCCGCCAAGUCGCGUGAGGGAAGACGGUCCUAUGGAUUGUAAACCUCUUUUGUCGGGGAGCAAAAGACGCCACGCGUGGCGUUCCGAGAGUACCCGAAGAAAAAGCAUCGGCUAACUCCGUGCCAGCAGCCGCGGUAAUACGGAGGAUGCGAGCGUUAUCCGGAUUUAUUGGGUUUAAAGGGUGCGCAGGCGGAAGAUCAAGUCAGCGGUAAAAUUGAGAGGCUCAACCUCUUCGAGCCGUUGAAACUGGUGUUCUUGAGUGAGUGAGAAGUAUGCGGAAUGCGUGGUGUAGCGGUGAAAUGCAUAGAUAUCACGCAGAACUCCGAUUGCGAAGGCAGCAUACCGGCGCUCAACUGACGCUCAUGCACGAAAGUGUGGGUAUCGAACAGGAUUAGAUACCCGGGUAGU
rnacentral:rRNA from 1 species